UAGUUUGUUGGUGAGGUAACGGCUCACCAAGGCCACGAUGUCUAGGGGGUCUGAGAGGAUGGUCCCCCACACUGGUACUGAGACACGGACCAGACUCCUACGGGAGGCAGCAGUGAGGAAUAUUGGUCAAUGGGCGAAAGCCUGAACCAGCCAUGCCGCGUGAAGGAUGACAGCGCUAUGCGUUGUAAACUUCUUUUGUACGGGAAGAAACACUUCUACUUGUAGAAGCUUGACGGUACCGUACGAAUAAGCAUCGGCUAACUCCGUGCCAGCAGCCGCGGUAAUACGGAGGAUGCAAGCGUUAUCCGGAUUUAUUGGGUUUAAAGGGUACGUAGGCGGAAAAUUAAGUCAGUGGUGAAAUCCCGCAGCUUAACUGUGGAACUGUCAUUGAUACUGGUUUUCUUGAAUAUAGUUGAGGUAGGCGGAAUGUGUAAUGUAGCGGUGAAAUGCUUAGAUAUUACACAGAACACCGAUUGCGAAGGCAGCUUACUAAACUAUGAUUGACGCUGAGGUACGAAAGCGUGGGGAGCGAACAGGAUUAGAUACCCUGGUAGUCCACGCUGUAAACGAUGAUCACUCGUUGUUGGCGAUAUACUGUCAGCGACUGAGCGAAAGCAUUAAGUGAUCCACCUGGGGAGUACGACCGCAAGGUUGAAACUCAAAGGAAUUGACGGGGGCCCGCACAAGCGGAGGAACAUGUGGUUUAAUUCGAUGAUACGCGAGGAACCUUACCUGGGCUUAAAUGCAGAACGACGGACCGGGAAACUGGUCUUUCUUCGGACGGACUGCAAGGUGCUGCAUGGCUGUCGUCAGCUCGUGCCGUGAGGUGUCGGGUUAAGUCCCAUAACGAGCGCAACCCUCAUCAUUAGUUGCCAGCGGGUAAUGCCGGGGACUCUAAUGAAACUGCCGCGUCUCAACCGAGAGGAAGGUGGGGAUGACGUCAAGUCAGCACGGCCCUUAUGUCCAGGGCUACACACGUGUUACAAUGGUCGGUACAAAGGGCAGCUACCUGGUGACAGGAUGCUAAUCUCGAAAGCCGAUCUUAGUUCGGAUCGAAGUCUGCAACUCGACUUCGUGAAGCUGGAUUCGCUAGUAAUCGCGCAUCACCCACGGCGCGGUGAUACGUUCCCGGGCAUUGUACACACCGCCCGUCAAGCCAUGGAGCUGGGG
rnacentral:rRNA from 1 species